UACGUAGGGUGCAAGCGUUGUCCGGAAUUAUUGGGCGUAAAGAGCUCGUAGGCGGUUUGUCGCGUCGACUGUGAAAACCCGAGGCUUAACCUCGGGCCUGCAGUCGAUACGGGCAGACUAGAGUUCGGUAGGGGAGACUGGAAUUCCUGGUGUAGCGGUGAAAUGCGCAGAUAUCAGGAGGAACACCGGUGGCGAAGGCGGGUCUCUGGGCCACUACUGACGCUGAGAAGCGAAAGCGUGGGGAGCGAACAGG
rnacentral:rRNA from 1 species